GAUGAACGCUGGCGGCGUGCCUAAUACAUGCAAGUCGAGCGAACGGACGAGAAGCUUGCUUCUCUGAUGUUAGCGGCGGACGGGUGAGUAACACGUGGAUAACCUACCUAUAAGACUGGGAUAACUUCGGGAAACCGGAGCUAAUACCGGAUGAUAUUUUGAACCGCAUGGUUCAAAAGUGAAAGACGGUCUUGCUGUCACUUAUAGAUGGAUCCGCGCUGCAUUAGCUAGUUGGUAAGGUAAUGGCUUACCAAGGCAACGAUGCAUAGCCGACCUGAGAGGGUGAUCGGCCACACUGGAACUGAGACACGGUCCAGACUCCUACGGGAGGCAGCAGUAGGGAAUCGUCCGCAAUGGGCGAAAGCCUGACGGAGCAACGCCGCGUGAGUGAUGAAGGUCUUCGGAUCGUAAAACUCUGUUAUUAGGGAAGAACAUAUGUGUAAGUAACUGUGCACAUCUUGACGGUACCUAAUCAGAAAGCCACGGCUAACUAC
rnacentral:rRNA from 1 species